AUCACCAGUGGUAUUACUACAGCAGUGUCACAGAGCCAAAGGCCUCAGUCUCACCGGUUACCACCAUCAGUAUGUCCAGCUUGGUGCUGUUUCUAAGAGAGGUUCUCAGGGAGGUCCCUGGAUGGCUGCUGUGGUUUGGGGUCUUCCUGCCUGUCACUCUGCUGUUGAUACAGAUCAUGGUUUACCUGAAUUGGAAGCUGAAGGAAGUAGAGGCAGAGUUGUCUGCAGCACCUUACCCCAUGGACAUGGCCUCCAGGCAGCACAACAGAACCACAUCACCCAGGCAGAGACGACGGGCUGGGGGGAGAAUGUACACCUAAGAAUGGGAAGUGUGGAUGGCCCCACGCUGGAUAUUGCCCUGCUGGGUACAGUACAGCCUUCUGAGAACUCAUAUGCAAACAGAACAGUGUCACAGUGAGAGUACAGUGGAUGGAGAUGCUGAAUACAAGUACUGAGGACUAUCCACCACCAGAUCAUGGAUAAAACACGAGCUAAGCCAUGGAUUGAGUGAAGCAACAACCAAUAUGGAAUUCCAAAUUACAGUUAACAAGGUGUUGGAAUGCAGAGACAAAGUGCAUUUUUUAUUGCUGCAAUUAUAGUGUUUAUUAUACCUUUCUAAGAAUGGUUCAAGAUAUUUUCAGAAUAUUUCCUUAUGGUUGAAAAGGUUAAGAAACUGAGAAGUCCACAAAAAGCUUUUGUUAAAGGGAUACUUCAGUGUUUUGGUACUGAGGCCCUUUAUCUACUUCCGCAGAGUCAGAUUAACUUGUGGAUACUGUUUUCAUGUCUCUGCGUGUAGUUUUAAGGAAGUUGCUAGCAUGCUAGCAGAUACCCAUAGACUUCCCAUGUAUUGUAUUAAAGAAUGUCAUUUUUAUGAUAAUAUAUUUACUUAGGAUCUCACUUGGUGAAGGCCAAAAGACUGAACAUUGAAUGCAACAACCAUGUCUCUGUCACUAACACAUACAGUCAUGGGUGGUAACUCUACAAUUCAUUCGAAAGGCAAGGCACUCUGGAAAAUAUACAAAUAAGCCUUUACAGUAAGAGGCGCUUUACAGUAGCAUUAUUAGUACAGUAAAUCAAAUACAGUAACAGUAUUAGAUACCAUAAAAUACAGUACGGUAAAACUGUUCCUUUUUAUUUGACAGUAACUUAUAGGAAACUGGCUGCCAGUAAGUUACUGUCUAAACAACUUUUCUUUUUGCACAGUGCAUAUGUUCUAGUGUGUAGUUCCAGUAGUUAGCUACAUUGCAAAAAAAGUAAUUAACUACUGCAAAAUGUAGUUCAAUUACUAGCUGAACUACAUGUAGUUCACUACUCCCUAACAAUGGUAAAAAAGGAACCAAACUCAUCCAAUCAGAGAAUAACAACAUUUUAUUUCAACAGUGUUACACAGAGGGUGGGGUGGCUGUGGGGGAGACAACAUUUUAAAGCUGCUAAAAAUCUAAGAUUAUUUGCUAUACACUGGGCCCAAAUAGCAAAUUGGUGAGGUUUGUCAGAUU